rnacentral:tRNA from 1 species
GCGGCCGUCGUCUAGCCUGGACUAGGACGCUGGGUUUCCAACCCAGCGAUCGCGGGUUCAAAUCCCGCCGGCCGCA